AAAAUAUCUAGUUCGAUGCGUUCGACACAAUCUUCUCAAAGCUUCACGCUGCAAACCCUACCUGAACCUAGAUUUUGGAGUCGUACGCUCUGUCUCCGGCGUCACUCUCAUCUUUCUUGCAGCAACCCUAGUUGGCAGGAUUGCUACCAUCACUUGUAUGCACUGAUUAACCUAAUGUGCAACGGUAGCUGAGCAGAAUUUCCAUCCAUCAACAUGGGAUUUGAUAAUGAGUGCAUUCUAAACAUUCAGUCUCUUGCUGGUGAAUACUUCUGUCCUGUUUGUCGCUUGCUUGUCUACCCCAAUGAAGCCAUACAAUCACAGUGUACUCAUCUAUACUGCAAGCCUUGCUUAACAUAUGUUGUAAGCACUACCCGUGCCUGCCCUUAUGAUGGCUACCUGGUGACUGAAGCAGAUUCAAAGCCUCUUGUGGAAUCAAAUAAAGCUCUUGCUGAAACCAUCGAUAAAAUAGCUGUUCACUGUCUCUAUCACAGGAGUGGAUGCACAUGGCAGGGUCCAUUAUCAGAAUGCACAUCACAUUGUGCCGAAUGUUCCUUUGGCAAUUCCCCGGUUGUAUGCAACAGGUGUGGUACUCAAAUUGUGCAUCGACAAGUACAAGAACAUGCACAGAACUGCCCUGGUGUGCAGCCUCAAGCACAACAAACUGAGGUUUCCCAGGAUGCAACCUCUACAUCAGUUGCUGCAACUUCAACCGAACAAAACCAAGCUGGUGCUCCAGCAGGGGCACCAGCAUCUCAAGCCCUGUCUGGCCAGUCAUCCCAGACCAAUGUGGUACCUGUGUCUGGACAAGACCAAAAUCAAGCCAGUGCCAAUGUUCAGCCCCAAUCUGUCGCUCAGGCUAUGCCAACUCCAGAGCAGUGGUAUCAGCAACAGCAGCAACAACUGCUAUACCAACAAUACUAUCAGCAAUACCCUGGAUAUGAUACCUAUCAACAACAUUAUCAGCAUUAUGAUCUAUACCAACAACAAUCCCAUCAGCAAUAUCAGCAGCAAUACCCACCGACUCGUCCCCCACAUGUACCGGGACAGAACCCACCCCAGGUGCAUAUGCUACCCCAGGCCCAACCUCCGUCUCAGCUACAAGCGCAACCCCAGCCACCAGUGCAACCUCAACCUCAACCUCAACCUCAACCUCAACCGCAGUCACAUGCUCAUUCUCAACCUCAUGCACAGCUCCAGGCUCCUGUGGUUGUGCAGCCUCAAAUGCAGGGACAGGUCAACUCUCAACAGCAACUUCAACCAGUAGCACAACCUCCUUUCCAGGGGUACCAGCAUCCUCAGCCAUAUUCACAGGCUCAGCCUCAUCAACAGCAUCCAGCCCAUUCUCAUCCUCAAAUGCAGCAUCUCAGCCCCAUCCUCAUCCUCAACCUCAACCUCAACCUCAAUCUCAACCUCAACCUCAAUUUCCUCCACCUUCCCAGCGUCAUCCCCACCUCAACCUCAUCCUCAGCUUCAUUUCCUCCACCUUCCCAGCGUCAUCCCCACCCUCAACCUCAGCUUCAGGCCCCUCCGCAUCCUCCAUCCCAAACCCAGUCCCAGGCUCAGGCUCAGGCUCAGGCUCAGGCUCAGUCCCAACCACAGCUGCAGACCCAGCCCCUUCCACCGCCUCAGCCACAACAUCCAUCGGCUCAUGCAGUGACAGGCCACCAAUCCUAUCUACAACCUCCUCAGCAACAAUUGCUUCCAGGUGCCCCUCAACACACUGCUUACAUGCCUCAGCAGCAAGGUGUGCCUCAUCAGCCACAACAUUCUGUUCAAAUGCAGAGUCAGUACCCUCCUCAGCAACCGCUGCAAAUGCGUCCACCCCUAUCUCAUGGUCCAGUGCAACAGCAGCAAAAGCCAGCCAUAUUGCCUCAACAGGGGCAACAUCCAAGUAUUCCUCCUUUGCAACAGCCUCAUGCCAAUCAAGCAUUAAACCAGCUCCCUGGUUUACAUCCACCCCAACAACAGCCUCCUGUGCUACAGAAACAGGUGCAAGAAUUCCAUCAGCAGGCACCUGGGCAUUUGCAUGCCUCCCAUCCAUUCCCUGGGCAGACGCCUGGUUUGGUUCACAAUCAGGCCCAUCAACAGAGUCUUCUCAUGCAACAGCAGCAGCCGCAGCUGCCGCCGCCGCCGCCACCACCACUGCCACAGCAGCAGCUGCCGCCCACACAGUCUCAUUUACGCCCUUCAGGCCCGUCGUCGUUGCAGCUACAUGCUUAUGGCAAUCCUCAGUUGCAGCAGAAUGUUCCUCUGGGACAUGGCUCACAAUCACAGCCAUCACAAAAUUUUUCUGGAAGGCCUAUGAUGCCAAAUCAUGGGGUUCCACAACAACCAUUUCCACAGUCUCUGGGAGGACCUGCAGUGAUGGGUUAUGCUAAGCCAAGGCAGCCUGGUCCAAAUCAGCCGUCCCAAAACCAAAAUUAUCCAUCUAGUACUGGCAUCCGUUCGCAUUCAUCUUUGGAACAACAGAUUGGUAACAUUCAUCAGCCUGCACUUUCACAAUCUGGCAUCCAGAACGCCACGUUUCCUGCUCUGCCUAUGACAGAGUCUGGGACAAAUGUUCCAGAAGCUUAUACACGAGCUGCAUCAAAGCCAACAUCUUUUGAGAAGCCAGCCGAUUCCAAACCUGAGAAAAGUGCAAAUGGGCUUGAAAAUGAUACACCUUCUCUCAUGGCCGGUGGAAAUGGUUCAAUUAUCGCAUCUUCUCAAGAUGCUGAUUCGUCAGAGCUCAAGGCUCCCAAGUCUGUGAUUGAUGAAGAAAAGCGUGCCAAUCAAGACGAAGGUAAGAACAGCAAGUCUGAUCUGUCUGUUAAGGAGAUUCUGGGCUCUUCUGAGGCAUUGGGAGAACACCUCGGAUUAAAGGUGUCAGAAGAUGCGUCCGAGGAACUGGUGAUUAAGCAGAUUGUGAAGGAAGAAGCUAGUGAGAAGCUGUCAGAGCAAUCUCCAGGUGGGGCUAAGAGCCAUGAAGAUGUUCAUAGUGAUUCCGAGGAGAAUUCCCUGUUGGAAACUAAGGAAAUUCAUGAUGCCCCUCAAAUGGAGAUGACCGAAGGUCAGGAUGUGAACAAGCCACUGAAUGCCGCAGAUGAAGGUGGAGCUGCAGGGUCUUUUCCUGCUGAUGAAAGAGAGAACUUGCAGAUUCUUCCUCUCCAUGGUUCUCAGGAUAGAAAUUUGGCCCAAUCCCAUUUCCCUUGGCCUGGGCCUCGCCAACAUCCUAUGCAUUAUGGAGCUCGUCCUCCUCACCAGCAAAGACCUCCUGCUCCUGAUCAGAUGGUACAAUCAUCAAUGCCUCCACCUCAAAUGCAUAUACCAGGGCAGCCUCCCGCCCAAAUGAGGCCUCAAGGGUAUAAUUCCCAUUUACAUUUAUCCCAGCAAGGUCAGCUAUCAAUUCCACCCAAACAUUUCGAGCAACCAAUGGUGAAGCAGCCUCAUGGUGCUUUUCAUGCCGAAGUUUCCUCUGGUGGGGUUCAAGGCACAGGCUCCUUGGUGUCCUUUGGGACGGGUCCAGCUCAUCUAGCUCCCCAGAAAGGUCUUGUUGAACCACAAUCUAUGGUGCCCCGAGGGUAUCACAAUCAAGGUAUUGUUCCUCCUCCCCAUGCUGGAGGUCCCAGAAUUUCUCCAGGUGAGUCCAUGAGAGGACCCCCAUUGGGUGGGCCACCACCUGGGGCAUUUGAGUCGCAUGGAUCAAUGAUGGUGGGUGGACCUCUACAUGGUAUUGAAGGUCAGAUGGGGCAUCCACGUCCUACUAAUCCUAUGGAAGCUGAAUUCCCUGUGAAUAAGAGGCCUGGUUAUAUUGAAGGUAUACAACCUGAUUCAAAUCUUUCUGGACUUCCAGAACGUAUUCCGUUUGAGCAGGCUUCUAUCCCUUCUAAUAAGAUGAAAAUGAAUGGAGUUCUGGGAAAGGGUGUGACUGCUGGUGGACAGGACCUAUCAUUUCCACAUGGUUUCCAGGAGGAAAGGUUUAAGUCAUUGCCAGAUGAGAGAUAUAAAGGAUUUCCGCAGGAAGGCUUCAAUCAGCCAAAGGAGGAGCGCUUCAAGCAGUUCCCGAUGGAACCAGGUAGGCACAUGGUCGGUCGAAGAGAGUUUGAGAAAGAUUUGAAGCAGUUCCCAAGGCCAGUUCAUCCAGAUGAGUCUGGUCCCAAGUUUGAAAGUUACUUCUCAUCAAGGCCUCAUGGCUUUGGCAUGGAAGCAGCACCGAGACCUCUCGAUAGGGCACCUGUUUUUGGUCGUGAUGCAGGAUCCAAAUUGGAUGUUGUUGCCAGUGCUGCUAGUUCAAGAUUGUUGCCUCCCUAUCAACCUGGUAGUUUUUCAGGACAUCCCUUGGAUUCGGGAGAAAGAGCUAGGUCAGCUGGCCUUCAUGAUAACAUUGGAAUAAAGGCUGAUCCUGCUGGAGCUCACUCAGAGUUCCAUGGACCUAUCUCUGAGUUUGGUAGGCAUCGUGUGGAUGGUAUGGGACCUCCAAGAAGUCCUGGCAGAGAAUACCCAAGCAGAUUUGGAGGUAUUUCUGCUGGUUUUCCAUUGGGUACUCAGUCACGCCUGGAAAAUAUGGAUGACCGAGAGUCACGUGUUUUUGGUGAACGAUCCAAGCCUUUCAAUCUUCCUUCAGAUUCAGUUGGCAGUGUAUUUCAUGAUAGUAAGUUUCCCAUGUUGCCUGGCCAUAUGCGAAGAGGUGAUUCUGAUGGUCCUGGGAACCUGCAAAUGGGUGAGCACAUGGGAUCUAGUGCAUUGCCUGUUCAUUUGAGGAGUGGUGAUUUGGUUGGUUCAGACAUUCUACCCGGUCAUUUGCGGAACCAUGGACCUUUUGGACCUGGUAGUUUAGGUCAUUUGAGGGGAGGUGAACCUUUGGGUACUCGUAACUUGCCGGGUCAUAUGAGGAUGGGUGAGCCAGCUGGUUUUGGUGCUUUCCCCCGUCAUUUACGUAUCGGUGAGUUGUCUGGGCCUGGGAAUUUGCCAUCUCAUCAACGAGUUGUAGAGUCAAUCAGGGGACGCUUCAAUGAACCUGGACUUGGGGGCAGCUAUCCUGUCUCAGGAUUUCCAAAUGAUGGUGGAUUUUUUCCAGGUGACAUGGAAUCCUUUGAUCACUCAAGAAAGAGGAAGACAGGAAGUGUGGGAUGGUGCCGUAUAUGUAAAAUUGAUUGUGAAACCGUUGAAGGUCUGGACCUGCAUUCCCAGACACGCGAGCACCAGAAGAUGGCCAUGGAUAUGGUCCUGAGCAUCAAGCAGGACAAUGCCAAGAAACAGAAAUUAGCUUCAGAUGACCAUACUGUUGAAGAUGGAAACAAGUCCAGGAAGGUCAAUUUUGAGAGUCGUGGUAAUAGGCAUUAAGGCAAUGCUACUACAACUUUUGAUCAAACUGCCAAUUCUGAAGGGAACAUGAUUUGUUGCUGCCUGGAAGUCAUUUUGUUUUUUCCUUCAGUAAUUUUGCAUCAGACAUGUUGGUGAUUAACGCUUCUAUGUUUGCCUUUUUGUUUUCGGGUUGGUUUAUGCAGUUUUAUUGUUUCAGGUCGCUGCUGUGUUUAAUGGAGAUGGUUCUUUGGAACUGAAGUUUCUGUGGCAAAUUUCAAGUGCUUUUGUUGGACCAUGAGAAGAUCUUCAACUUGAAGUAGAUUCAAAGGAGCCUUUAGUUAUCCACUUUGUUAUAGUAUUGUGGCAUGGCUUACUGGUUUAUCACGUCUCAAGCAUUUUCUUGGUGCUCUGUUUCUACUAGGAAAUCCUUUAUUAGAACGCUGAUCAGACAAGGAGUGGCUGGAUAGGAUUGUGACUUGCCUAUGAAUGCCUAGAAUUCCUCUUGUUCCUCAUCCUCAAAAAUCAAUUAAGGACCACUCAAGGAAUUUGAUGGGCGGGAAGGUAUGAGAGUCCUUGGCAUCAACCAUAUAUGGCCAUGCAUAUGUAUCAAUGCUCUAGACUAUUGUGCACUCUCUUAAGUCUGAAAAGGAACAAAAGCUUUAAAUAGGAAAGAGGCUAUUAGUAUUCAAAUUACUUCACUCGACAAUUUUGGCCAUUCAUCUAGGGGGUGUUGCGAUUUUAGAAUCCCUCUUCGUUGGGCGACGUAUCUUCCCAACAUAUAUAUCUCAUUGGAGAAGAAGAGUAUAAGAGAAUGCAAUGUUCAGUACUUCAGUUAACGCAAAGAAUGACCUUGAUGGGGCAGGAGGGCAGCAAGGCAGAGGGAGAUGAGGGGGGGUGAAAGGGCACGAGGUUGCAGCAGUGGCGGAAAAAAUGAGUGGCAACAUCAAUGGGUUGAAUGUCUGAGGUGCAGAGGGAAUCCGAAGAUGGAAAACGCUCCUUCUAGCCUGGUCUCCACAGCCAUUUCACUGUUUUAAAGUGAAAUGUGGUUGGUUCUUGUUUAGGCUCUCCAGGUCCAGCGGUAGUUGGUAGUGUUUUAAAUGACUGGUAUGACAAUUUCAAGUUGUUUCUGUUGAUGGAAAUAAGGAGGGAUUUAAUUGGAGUCUCUGACACAGUGAAACCAGUAGCAUAUUGAGUCAUCUCCACUUUGGGAAGUUGGGAAUUAGGACCUUGAUGAUGAUAGGGGAUAGCACAGUGACUUCAGAUGUAGAUGCUAAGUCGAUGAAUAUUUGAUCUUGUUAUAAGAGAACUUGGAAAAUAUAUGAAUUGCAUGUGAUCAUGAUUUGUAAA